GGAUGCGAUCAUACCAGCACUAAAGCACCGGAUCCCAUCAGAACUCCAAAGUUAAGCGUGCUUGGGCGAGAGUAGUACUAGGAUGGGUGACCUACUGGGAAGUCCUCGUGUUGCAUUCC
rnacentral:rRNA from 1 species